rnacentral:rRNA from 1 species
GAUCAGCCGUAAACAAUUAAUUUACACCAAUCAGCGCCAGUGGAAUUACGAGUCCUAUUGCUUAAAACCCAAAGGACGGUGUCCCACCCCCCUUAGAGGAGCCUGUUGUAUAAUCGAUGAUCCCCGCUAUACCCUACCAUUCCUCGCCUCAGUCUGUAUACCACCGUCGAAAGCCUACCCUGUGAACGUCCCAGUAAGCCCAAUGACCCCCCUCAACACGUCAGGUCAAGGUGCAGCUCACGGAAUGGAAAGUAAUGGGCUACAAUUUCUAACAUAGAACAAACGAAAGACCAUGUGAAACCAUGUCACGAAGGUGGAUCUAGUAGUAAAAAGAAAAUAGAGUGUUCUUUUUAACCCGGCUCUGGGACGCGUACACACCGCCCGUCACCCUCUUCGAUAGCUUUACUUCACGUUUAUAACCCUUUAUCCGCACCUUAGAAGAGGCAAGUCGUAACCAUGGUAAGUGUACUGGAAAGUGCACUUGGACUACAACAAAAUAUAGCUUAA